GCCGCCGUAGCUAAGCCCGGCAUAGCGGCGGACGAGCCUUCGGCCGCGGCUGCAGACCCGUAGGUCCCGGGUUCAAAUCCCGGCGGCGGCU
rnacentral:tRNA from 1 species